CAAUUUCUACGUGAGUCAACACUUAUUAGAUAAGGAGGAUCCUCAGAAACAGCUAAAAAGAGGGAAAGGAGGCUUGCUAGACCCAGAGAAAGAUACAGGGUACACAGGAGCAGCAAGAAGUGAAGGUAACGGAUCAGGUGUCAUAUACGGCACCGGCAAGAGACUCCAGAGGCCACACAGGCACGCUUGAAGCAAUACAUGCAGGCAUAGGUAUACAGAGUGAAUCCCGACAUGCCUCUAUUCGAACAGUCUAAUCCAAGAUGCUGUUUAUAUCUGCAGUCAUGCCAAUAAUGUCCAUCUAUCGAUUACCACUUGGACAAUAUGAAUACGCAGGCCAUGUCAUCAACUUGCCACAAGAUGUGGUGUCAUUUGCACAA